AUACUACAUAGCUUUUAUUGGAUCUCUGUUAACCUCCUAAAAUUGUUUGCUCCCAGGUUUUCAUUACUUUGACCACCCAUGACUUGUUGAUAGACCUAGGGUCUCCAGUGUCAUCCUGUGAUCCUUUUGUUACCAACCCUCAACCACACACUACAUUACAUGCCUUAUCUAUCAAUACUUCUGCUAUCACACUAAACUAGUCUCCCACACUACAGCAUGAAGUACCACAAAUCUCAUUACACAGUAACAAACAGCUAUUCCACAGCCUAAAUACAAAUUACUGUUAUACUUCAGUUCUAAAAUAAUACAGAAAUUAAUCAGCUUAGGCAACAGCACGAGAUUGGCUGCUACAAGAUUGUCAUCUGCCUAUUACCCAUGUCGUUUCGUAUUCCCUUUGAAGUAAAAAUUAGUUUCACCUUGAUCCUUACAAUUCUGUGCAGCUUCGUAUUUCAGCAGGUGCAUGGUAAACACAGGACUGGUGUCUGUAACAAGAGCUGGUGAAGUAGAUGGAGCAGCGGGGCUCACACCAGUGCUGAAACAUCUUAGGGCUGUCUUCUGUUGGCUGUGCAAGAAGUGCCUGAGCAGGCCUGCUUUCUUUUCACUAAAAGUAAACAGAAAGCAUCAGUUUGAGGGCUCUGCCAGUGAAGACACUCCCAAACCAAAGUGCUUAGAUAAUUCACACAGAGUGCCUCCUGUGGUGAUUUCAGCCUGCUGGACAGGUAAACUCCACACCACUCACUCACCCUCCUCAGAAGGACAGGGGAAGAAGAUACAACGAAAAGGGGCUCGAGCGUUAAGAUAAGGACAGGGACCUGCUCCACCUUGGGGCUCUCCAUGAGCUGCAUGGGAACUCCUCCUCCAAGCAACUGGAGCACCUUUUCCCCUCCUUUACCAACCUUGGUAUCUGCAGUGUUGUUUCUCUCUACAUUUUCUUACUCCUCUCUGCCACCUGCUGUUCUGCACUAUUUCUGUUCUUAAAUCUGCUCUCACAGAAGUGCAACCAGCAUUGCUCAUCGCUGUGACCUUGGCCAGCAGCAGGACUCUUCUGGUGCCAGCUGAAACUGGUUCUUAUCCAACAUGGGGCAGCUUCUGGGCUUUUCAUAGAGAAAAAAAAAACUGUCUGUUUUUCAUCUAGAAAACUGUCAAAAAAAAGAACCAGGAAUAUACACACCCAUGAUAGAGCUCAGGCAAUCUCCAGGGAGCCGUUUAAACCCAAGAUCAAAUGGUGCUCCUAGCCAACAGGCAGAACUAGUGAGUAAAGGCACCAGGUGAGGCUUUUCAGGCCACUUAAGGCAUCUUAAUGCCAUCAGAGCUCCUAUAAACUCAGCCUCACAAGAGGCAGAAAAGCUUGGGAGUUAUCUAGUGUGUGAACUACAUAGGUCUGCUAUACCCAGUCACUGAAAGAACUAUCAAGUGUCUAAUUACAGGAAUCCUUUAAGGAAAUAUGUUCACUAUUUUGAGUGAAAAUAAAUUAAAGUCCUCAUACAGCACCUCAUCACAUCUCACAAUACAUGCUGCUAAAGAACGUCCACACAACUGUGUGAUAAAACAACCAAGCAGACACUCAAAGCACAUAGUAUUGUGAAUGUUUACAUGCAUUUACUUUUUAAGCAGAUUUUUCCUUUGGAGUUAAAGGCAGAAUUACCUCAGCAUCCAGAAGUGGGACUGACAAGAAGUUUUAGUUGCACAUGACCGAAGUGCAGUAGGACAGCAACAGAGGGACGCAGGUCAGGAAAAUAGCAGAUUGCAGCUUCUGGAAAAGGCAGUACCUCUUGCAAAGGCCCAAACCCAGAAGAUACACUGCACUUCCCAGGAUACACCUGCAUGGCAUAACACAGCCUUUUCCAGUUAAGCCUUGUCAGCACAAAACAAACUAAACAAGUCACACUAACAGUACUGCUGAAUGAGUAACUCUAGCCAGGGUUAAAGGACUCCAGUGAAGAAGUUAACCAGGGAAUCCCACUAACAAAAACUUUCCUCAAGAAAAAAGGCACUAUAAACCUCACUUCAAGUCAGCAUUAAACCGUAAAAACGCUUCGGUCUGUAGCAGGCACUUUAACAUGCACUGUCUAAUUAACAGAAGAUGCUGAGGACAAUUCCUGUUAAAACCAGCUUUAGAAUUACUGACAAAUGUCAAUGCCUCCUAUGCUAUAAAGUAGCAAGAAUAACUUGGGCUUUAAUAACGCUGUGAAAUGGAAGUAAUAAAUUCAAAUGUUUUCACAGUUAUACCACAUAUGACAAAAUUUAAGUCAUUAAUUAGUAAGAGAAAAGUAAUUCUCUCUGCCCAGCUACCCAACCAUCACUGAACAUCACUGGAAAUACAGUUUCUGCUCUUACUAAAUAUGAACUCAGGAAUUGGUUUGCGUACAACUGAUCUUGCAUCUUUUCAGGAAAGCUGUUUGCCCCCAAAUAAAGUAAGUUCAACACUGUCUUCCUAAAGCGAGGCCUAUAAGUCACACACACACACCACAGCUUUGCCAUGCCUACCCAGAACAAGAACAUGAAGUGCCUGAAUAAAACUGGAAGCUCAAGAGCACUUGGAGAAAAGCUUUCUCAAAGUAUACUAGAUAAUGAAGUUAAAUUUGCAUUGGCUGCCUGAGUCCCCCAGAGGAGAGCAGGCCUUUGUGCGGGAGGCCCUGGUGCUCCCAAGGGUCGAAUGAAAUGCCUCAUUGUUUCCCUUUUCUUAAUCUGUUUUUUCUUUAACAUGUUUAAGUGGCUGUUUGCAGGUCCCCUGCUUGUUACUGACUGCCUACAGCUCAGGUGUGAAGUUGGAGCUGAGGUUAAAGUUGGAGGCUUUGAUCCCAAGUUGUACAUAGACUCUCAGUGCCUUUCUCUCCCUGCAGGAGACGCAGGGUGCUGCUGCUCCCCUGUCCCUCCCUGCACCCUCCCAUCCGUGUGUGUGACCCUGCUGCCCCUCAGCUGCCAGGCACUCACCUGGUGCCCGUGAUGUGUUGCCCAGCUGCAGGCUGGCACCAGCACGUCCCCAGGGCUGUGGUGCAGGGCCAGGGCAGCCACCCCUUGGGGUGCACGGGGCUCCGGGUCCCCCACCACCCCAUUUGCAUCCCCAUGGCCCCAGAGGUGUCCCCAACACAGCCCCUGCAGCAUGGGGCUGGGCUUUUCUCACCACUUUCUUCACACACAGGUUUUGGCACAGAUCCUUUCAGUUCCUGCAGGUGGAUCAUGAGGCACAACUCACACGGUGGUGGCUGGUAGCUCCUGGUUUAAGGUUAGCAGCAGUGUUUGGCCACGGGUGUCAGGGCACAUCCUGUGGGGCUGCUGGGGCUGGAUGAGGGACCUGCACCCACCUGGGGUUGGUUUCUCCUGCAGCUGGGGCUGUUUGUGGAUGCAGCUCACCAUUGCUUUAUGUUGUUGCUUUACUGAGCAGAUGGGACACUGCAGGGAGCACAGGUAUCCAGGGAGCCCUGGAUCCUUCCAGCUCCACAAAGCUACAGCCUGUACUUGUUCAAACAGUUUGGACUUUAGACAAGGUCAUAAGUUAGUCACUGUCAUAUCUUGAAUAUUAAUCUUCAGUGCCAUAGUCGUGCAUUGUAUAGGCAUUGACUGAUUUAGGUUGUAUUUAUUGAUUUAUUAGCCCAGAACAUCCUGAACAUAUUGUGCCUCCAGCUCGCAAAAAUCCACACCUUUAGACAGCAGACAUCUCCAGCCCUGCUGGAGAUCUUUGGUUCACUUCCCACUCACUUCUGCUUUGUUUCAUUUUCAUCUUCAUCUUGCUUUGGAACCCCAGCACGGGGUCUCUGUUUUCAAGCCUCAGUAGCAGCACACUGGGCCUCUUCGCAAGCCCCCGAAACACAGAGCUCAGCUCCAUUUCCAAGCUCACCCAACUCAGUCCUGUGUCCAAGCCCCAAACCUGGCCAAAUGAGCCCACAGCCCCACCGAGCCCAAGCAGCAGUGUCCCAAGCCCAGACAGAAGACCCAAUAGGCGAGAGCCCAGCUUGGCCUUAGAGCACAGCACACGGCUCUGACAAAGUGCAGCUGGGUUCAGGGCCAGUGCCAUUGUGCAUCGGGCACUGCCUGUAAAAUUCAUAAAUGUGCUGUUUUUUUUACAUAGCUAAUUAAUCUGCCUUUUUCUGUAUUUAAAGCCUACAUGCAGGGUGCCCCAAGCGUCCCCCCUACCAUCCACCAGCACCACCCACUCCAGCUGUGGAUCUUUGCUCAUCAGGUCCCCACUCAGCUGUGAAGUUCCCACAGCUGUGGUAUGAAAAAAAAAAAAAAAAAAGAAACAAAAAAAAAGGGGAAAAAAGAAAAAAAUGUAAAAAGAUAAAAGGGGAACAGGAAAGGGAAGGGAAGGGAAGGAAAGGAAAGGAAAGGAAAGGAAAGGAAAGGAAAGGAAAGGAAAGGAAAGGAAAGGAAAGGAAAGGAAAAAGAUUAAGUAGAGGUAAAAAAAAAAAAAAAAAAAAAAGACAAGAGGAAUUAAGUAGAAGUUAAAAAAUAAAAAAGACAAGAAAUGAUCAAAAUAAAAGCCCACCCAAAAGCAGAAAGAGUAAAAAAUAAUAAUAAUAAAAUAAAAGCAUAACAGAGUGUCACCUCCAAGCCCUCAAAACCAUGGGGCUGGUUUUAGGACUGGCUUUGCCACCCCAAUCCCCUGAUUCAUUUCCUUUUUUUUUGUUUGUUUUUUUGUCUCCCCAGGCAAACAGAAAAGCAGAGGCUGGGGGAGAAUUGCUGGGACAGGGUCUCCCCUGGGGCAUAGGUGCUGGGGGAAAGGUGAUUUAAUCCAAAAAUUAGAUUUUUUUUUUCCCUUCUGGCCCCCCAUCCGCAAUGGAGACAUGGCAUAGAGUGCUCUGAGCCCAGCUUGGCUGGGAAACCUUGCAUGAUUUG
rnacentral:lncRNA from 1 species